rnacentral:rRNA from 1 species
GGUAACACUGAAUGGAGGACCGAACCGACUUACGUUGAAAAGUGAGCGGAUGAACUGAGGGUAGCGGAGAAAUUCCAAUCGAACCUGGAGAUAGCUGGUUCUCUCCGAAAUAGCUUUAGGGCUAGCCUCAAGUGAUGAUUAUUGGAGGUAGAGCACUGUUUGGACGAGGGGCCCCUCUCGGGUUACCGAAUUCAGACAAACUCCGAAUGCCAAUUAAUUUAACUUGGGAGUCAGAACAUGGGUGAUAAGGUCCGUGUUCG